rnacentral:rRNA from 1 species
GACGAACGCUGGCGGCGUGCCUAAUACAUGCAAGUAGGACGCAGUUGCGAACGGGUGAGUAACGCGUAGGUAACUGCCUCUUCGAGGGGGAUAACUAUUGGAAACGAUAGCUAAUACCGCAUACUCGUCGAUUGACCUGCGUUGUAUUAGCUAGUAGGUAGGGUAAUGGCCUACCUAGCCGACGCUACAUAGCCGACCUGAGAGGGUGAGCGGCAACACUGGGACUGAGACACGGCCCAGACUCAUACGGGAGGCAGCAGUAGGGAAUCUUCGGCAAUGGGGGGAACCCUGACCGAGCAACGCAGCGUGAGUGAAGAAGGUUUUCGGAUCGUAAAGCUCUUUUGUUAAGGAAGCGGUACUUAACCAGAAAGGGACGGCUAACUACGUGCCAGCAGCCGCGGUAAUUC